rnacentral:rRNA from 1 species
AACGCGAAGAACCUUACCAAGGUUUGACAUCCUACUAAUCACUUCGAAAGAAGAGAGUGCCUUCGGGCAGGUAGUGACAGGUGCUGCAUGGCCGUCGUCAGCUCGUGUCGUGAGAUGUUUGGUUAAGUCCAUCAACGAGCGCAACCCUUGUGAGUAGUUGAAUUUUUCUACUCAGACUGCCCUGGUAACAGGGAGGAAGGAGGGGAUGAUGUCAGGUCAGUAUUGCCCUUACACCUUGGGCUACAAACACGCUACAAUGGCCAGUACAAAGGGCAGCCAACCCGCGAGGGGGAGCAAAUCCCAUCAAAGCUGGUCUCAGUUCGGAUUGCAGGCUGAAACUCGCCUGCAUGAAGCUGGAAUCGCUAGUAACCGUAGGUCAGCACACUACGGUGAAUACGUUCCCGGGCCUUGUACACACCGCACUACUA